AGCAGGAUGUUAUCUGGGCCGAACUGC
rnacentral:piRNA from 1 species